GCAAUUCCUUACUUGUUGCAAGGUUGAGAGCUUCCUUCUUACUAUUGCGCUGCGACUGGUUGUGGUUGGAUAAAAUGAGGGAGACUGUGACUGUUGAUGAUCAAUGACAGUGGUUUUGCUCUCUCGGGCACUACCACGCUAUGGACCCCCCAGCUACGGGAUCCAAGCCUGCGGUUUGCCAGGAGACCUGUGGUAAAACUCCCAGCUUCCAUUAUUCCUGUGUUAACAAGUAUGGCUUGCAGAGCAACAGAAGGUGGACUGAAAGCAAGGCAUUGAAAUCAAAUUGUAGGCAAGGGUUUUUGACAGCGUCCUGAUGACCACCAGGAGUCCAGCAUCAUAUGAGAAUUGGUGUCUAUAGCAGCCAGAGCCCAUCGCAGUCAUGCAAGGAAUCACCUUCCAAGCAGAGUUUUCCUGCCGAUGGAGUUUGUUUACAUGGGGAUGAGAAACAAUGGUCAACUCAGUUUGUUACUUGAGCAUUUCACUGGUGGAGAAGUGGAAUCUGGCAUUGUGUGCUGAAUCCAUUUUCUUAGCUAGGCAAAUGCCAACUUGGCAGCCUGUCUGGAAAGCUGAUAGCACUGGGACAGGUGUGAUUGUGGAGAUUGGUUUUGACAGGCUCUAGUAAGUCUGCUUUUAAGACGCCUCUUUCCAUUGGGGAAAGAAAGCACAGUCACUACAUUCAGGACUGGAGGGACUGGAUGAGAGAGAGGAGAGAGGCAACGGCAUUGUCUGCAGCUUCAUACCCUUAAAGACAGGAAUGGUUUAGCUUUGAGUAAGGCUGGCAUUUAUUCACUAGGGUGGUGCUAGCUAUAGUUAAGAGGAGGGGAAGGUGUAGCAUUGAGGACCUAAUUCCCCUUCCUAAAGCCCUGAGACUUCAACUUUAGAUAAACCCUGGUGUUACUUGGCAAAGCAUGAGAGCGGUACCCACAGAGAGGACCAUGUGCUCUAGGUUGUAUAUCCUUAUUUUACUGAAGUCAUAAACAAGUUAUUCUUGUACACUGCAGAAAGCCUCGCAACCACAAACCCAGCAAUAACUUCAUAAAUGAUAAGCUUGUUUUCCUCCCCCUCUUCCCAGAUACCCCGAGUGCAGCAGACAGCAGAGAUGUGCAUUGCUGGAAUCCAGAGAGUUUCAUAACGUGGCAGCCGCUUGCUGAAAGCCCUGCAGAUACAAAACAACGCUUACUUUAAGUCUUGGGAAACAGCUCCUACUAAGUAGAAGAAAAAAGCAUGUAGGUGAAGCAAUGUUGCCUGUCCCAGUUGUUUAUGAGGCUUGGGUUCUGUCUUUAUAUAUUUUAAAUGCUUUUUAUUUUCAUUCUGCUUUUUGAGCCUUUCAAGUGCAUGUUUUCCAUUUCUUUUCCAUCUGAGACGAAAGUCUGGAAUCCAGUCCUUGCUUUAAAAACAAAAAUCUGGUUCAGAGUUCUGUAUAAUCAUGUAGCUCCAGACAUGGGGUGUUUAAAAAUAAAGCCACUUUCAUGAGAAUCA